rnacentral:rRNA from 1 species
UGCUAUGCAAGACCUCCUUGUCAAAGCCUGAUCUCGUCAGAUCUCAGAAGUUAAGCAGGGCUGGGCCUGGUUAGUACUUAGAGCGAAGAGAACACUGGGAAUACCAGGUGUCACAGUGG